rnacentral:rRNA from 1 species
GGGGAAUAUUGGGCAAUGGGCGCAAGCCUGACCCAGCAACGCCGCGUGAAGGAAGAAGGCUUUCGGGUUGUAAACUUCUUUUGUCAGGGACGAAGCAAGUGACGGUACCUGACGAAUAAGCCACGGCUAACUACGUGCCAGCAGCCGCGGUAAUACGUAGGUGGCAAGCGUUAUCCGGAUUUACUGGGUGUAAAGGGCGUGUAGGCGGGGAAGCAAGUCAGAUGUGAAAACCACGGGCUCAACCUGUGGCCUGCAUUUGAAACUGUUUUUCUUGAGUGCUGGAGAGGCAAUCGGAAUUCCGUGUGUAGCGGUGAAAUGCGUAGAUAUACGGAGGAACACCAGUGGCGAAGGCGGAUUGCUGGACAGUAACUGACGCUGAGGCGCGAAAGCGUGGGGAGCAAACAGG